CUGCCCGCAACAGGGGGAUAACCCGGCGAAAGUCGGACUAAUACCGCAUAAAACAGGGGUCCCGCAUGGGAAUAUUUGUUAAAGAUUUAUCGGUUGCGGAUGGGCAUGCGUACCAUUAGGUAGUUGGUGAGGUAACGGCUCACCAAGCCUUCGAUGGUUAGGGGUUCUGAGAGGAAGGUCCCCCACACUGGUACUGAGACACGGACCAGACUCCUACGGGAGGCAGCAGUGAGGAAUAUUGGUCAAUGGGCGAGAGCCUGAACCAGCCAAGUCGCGUGAAGGAUGACUGCCCUAUGGGUUGUAAACUUCUUUUACAAGGGAAUAAAAUGAGAUACGUGUAUUUUAUUGCAUGUACCUUGGGAAUAAGCAUCGGCUAACUCCGUGCCAGCAGCCGCGGUAAUACGGAGGAUGCGAGCGUUAUCCGGAUUUAUUGGGUUUAAAGGGUGCGUAGGUGGGCUGUUAAGUCAGCGGUGAAAGUUUGUCGCUUAACGAUAAAAUUGCCGUUGAAACUGGUAGUCUUGAGUAUAGAUGAAGUAGGCGGAAUGCGUGGUGUAGCGGUGAAAUGCAUAGAGAUCACGCAGAACUCCGAUUGCGAAGGCAGCUUACUAAGGUAUAACUG
rnacentral:rRNA from 1 species